rnacentral:misc_RNA from 1 species
UUUUCUAAAUGCCUGUUUUAUAUUACUGAUGACAAAAAAAAAUCCUUUUUCUUACUUGUACUACAUGUUUAAGUAUCAGCGUUUGUGUUCCAAUUCAUUGCCAUAAAUUAUCAGAUCUGAUGGACAAGUUUACAUGAUGAUCUUAUUGUAAAUUUUAAGUAUUAACAUAUACCCUGGCUCUCGUUAUAAUUGAGAGUAUGUGUACGACACGUAAUACUGCUGUCUCAGUUAACAUGUAGUACAUGUAUACACUUGUUAGACAUUUUAAAAGAGUACUCCAAAUAUUUUACCUAAUUAAGUUUCAGUUCGGAUGAUCUUGCGUCAUCCUCACAGUGUCAGGGUUCCUGAGUCUGCUCAUGGCCGAGGGACAUUGUGAGAAUCAUUCUAUGUGUGAUUUUAAGUUUUAAGUUGUGCAAUAUCAAUGAAGACAAAUAAUAUUUUGUUUAAACAUACCCUUCAUAUCAUUCAUGGUGAAUUUGUCAUGAUGUUUUGGAUAAAUUAAUGCUUUGAAUGAAUAUCAUUUUAUUCUGUCAUAAUAAUUUUAAUGUAGCUGAACUAUUUAUUUAUUUGCUGUAUUGACAGUACUCUGUAAUAUUAAGUAUUAAUUCUUCUGUUGUUGGUUUUCAAUGUACAUGUCAGAAAGGCAAUCAACUAUGAAUUACAAAUAAACCAGACUUACACUU